rnacentral:rRNA from 1 species
AGUGGCGGACGGGUGAGUAAUACAUCGGAACAUGCCAUGUAGAAUGGGAUAACUCAUCGAAAGAUGAGCUAAUACCGUAUAAUCUCUGAGGAGGAAAGCUGGGGACCAUUAAUGGCCUGGCGCUAUAUGAGUGGCCGAUGGUCGAUUAGCUAGUUGGUGGGGUAGAGGCUUACCAAGGCGAUGAUCGAUAGCUGUUCUGAGAGGAAGAUCAGCCACACUGGGACUGAGACACGGCCCAGACUCCUACGGGAGGCAGCAGUGGGGAAUUUUGGACAAUGGGGGGAACCCUGAUCCAGCAACGCCGCGUGAAUGAAGAAGGCCUUCGGGUUGUAAAGUUCUUUUAUUGGGGAGCAAAGCUUAUUUGUAAAUAGCAGAUGAGUAUGAGAGUACCCAAGGAAUAAGCACCGGCUAACUACGUGCCAGCAGCCGCGGCAAUACGUAGGGUGCGAGCGUUAAUCGGAAUAACUGGGCGUAAAGGGUGCGUAGGCGGAUAUAUAAGUUAGAUGUGAAAAGCCCGGGCUUAACCUUGGCCGUGCAUUUAAGACUGUAUAUCUAGAGUUUGUGAGAGGGUGGUAGAAUUCCAAGUGUAGCGGUGAAAUGCGUAGAGAUUUGGAGGAAUACCGAUGGCGAAGGCAGCCACCUGGCAUAGAACUGACGCUGAGGCACGAAAGCGUGGGUAGCAAACAGGAUUAGAUACCCU